AGAAAAGCUUUUUUAAAAGCUACUGCAUGAGAACUGAGAAGCUCUAU
rfam:Lottia gigantea unplaced genomic scaffold LOTGIsca_19, whole genome shotgun sequence.